rnacentral:rRNA from 1 species
UACGUAGGGUGCAAGCGUUAAUCGGAAUUACUGGGCGUAAAGCGUGCGCAGGCGGUUUUGUAAGUCUGACGUGAAAUCCCCGGGCUCAACCUGGGAAUUGCGUUGGAGACUGCAAGGCUGGAGUCUGGCAGAGGGGGGUAGAAUUCCACGUGUAGCAGUGAAAUGCGUAGAGAUGUGGAGGAACACCGAUGGCGAAGGCAGCCCCCUGGGUCAAGACUGACGCUCAUGCACGAAAGCUAGGGGAGCGAAUGGG